CGCCGCUGCUUCCCUUUACUCGCUUCCUCAUAUUUUUAUACCACUUCCACGCAUCAUCGCCACCGCCAGAGUGAGAGCGAGUGCACUCGACCCUUUGCCGUUGCGCAUUCCUGAACGCUCCUCACCGCCCUCACCCACUUCUUUGCUGCUGCGGUGUUUUCGCGUCCCCCCUGCCCUUUUCUCCACUGCAACGAUAUACGUGCUCGAUAUCGCAUACACGCGCUCCGCACAGUCCAUUAGCCAUGGCGAACCCGUACGAGAGCGGCAUCUCGGCCGACCCGUUCCGCGAGCAGCCGUACGCCUCUACCGGCGCCGCCGUGCCGCCCGCUGGGUCCGCGCCCUCCGCUGCCCUCAGCAACACCGGCGAUCACCCCCACGGCUACGGCUCUGCCACGUACACGGAGGUUUCCAAGCAACUGUCGGACGGCAAUGCAGGCGUGCCCCCGAUGCAGUUGUACGCCGGCGAUGGCAGUGGCACCCCGCCGCUAACCACGAUGGCGCCCCUGCCGCCAACUGGGCCUGCCGCCGCAGGGGCUGACGCCGCUGCGGCCUCCCAGACGACCGCAACGAGCAAGUUCUGGACGCUCCCCUUCUACCAGCAAUUCUUUGACAUCAACACGCGGCAGCUGCUGCUGCGCCUCAGCAACACGCUCAUCCCGAUAAACCCGCCAGACUUCCUGAUGGAUCGUAACUGGCACCUCAACGAAUCUGUUGGUGUUGACGGGACUGGUGGGAUCGCGGAAGACACGACGCUUGAGGAGGCGGGGGUGGUGCUGUCCCGCAAACCGGAUCUGUACGGCCCCUUCUGGAUCUGCACCACCCUCUGGAUGACCUUGGCGGUGGUCAGCAACAUCAUGAGCAGGAUUGCCUACACAAAGAACAACAACACGACACAGCCGUGGAGGUACGACUUCUCCGUCGCUUCAGUCGCGUACGCCGUCAUCUACCUCUACUGCUUCGUCUUUGGUGCCGUUGUGUGGGGCAUUAUGCAGUGGAAGAACUUGCCUGCCACUCUCACCGACACUGUCUGCUUGUACGGCUACAGCAUGUUCAUAUUUGAGCUUGUGGCUAUCCUCUGCAUGAUCCCGUCUAGUACAGCGCAGUGGGCCUUCGUCAUGUUCGGCGGCGCCUGGUCCACAGCCUACUUGCUCAUCAACAUGUGGCACAUGUGGAAGACGACGCUGGAGCGGAACUGGUUUAUUGGCCUGGUGGUAUUCGUGGCGGCCUUCCACAUGGGCCUCACGCUCUCCUUUAAGUUCUACUUCUUUAACUACAAGCUGUAGCGAUGGCGGGUGACCCGUGGGCGUGUGCGCCUGCUUGUGUGUAUGCCAGCGCUGCGGCUGGCAACGGUGCCGAGUGCAGCGUGGUGUUUUCUUGCUGGGCUCUUCUUCGUCCUCACUUCAUCUCCCUUUGCGUGCGAGCUGCGCUGCGGUGGCCCCUUCUCCCUUGUUCUCACCCCGUCGUGACGGCUGCGUUCUUCCUGUGCGUGUGCGUGUGGGGAGGGGGAAAGGGCACCAAGUCCGGCCCCUGCGUUUGCGUGUCGGUUUAUGGUUGCAUGACUGUGCCUGUAAGCGUGCAUGCCAGCGAGCGCGCACACCGUGUGGGAGGAGGCCUCGAUUGUCUCGCCACUUCUCGACUUGUGAUCUUGAUGGCGUCGUGCUGCGGUGCAUUUUUGUCGGGCACAGGACGUUGACGAGGUUGUUUGUGCGCACCUCUGCUUAGGGUACCGUACGCUAUUCACUAUGGAUUCUGCGACGGAGACACGAGGGGACGAAGCUCCGCCCUCACCGCCGAGCUGAGAAGUGGACCUCUCCCUGCGGAAGAAAAAAAAACAGGCAAACUCCCUGAGGCCCCCCUCCCCCUCCCCCCCACCGCACACACGAACCCACCUGCGAAGAGGAUGGAUGUGGCGCACGCGCUCUCUCUGUGCGCGCGCGUCUCUGUGGCUGCGGAUGCUCGUCCCUCCUCUCCACUCGAGGGUGCCGUUCAUCGCCAUGGGAGGACAUGCCUCAGGGGUACGAGGGAAGGGGGCGGGGAGGCGUGGCGCAAUGCCGCUUGCCGCCCACGCGCCUCACAGGAGAUGAGAAGGGCAAGUAAGCGCCAUCUUUGCAUCACCUCGGCGCACACGCACGUACGCGCGCGCUUAGACAUUUAUGCACCCUUGCGCGUGCGUGAGAGAGUGAGAGAGACGUACCGCUUCUCUUGUCCUGCUUGCAUGGCUUGGCUCACGUCGCUCUCGCCAACACCGACUCUCUGUGCGCGCUCAUCGUCUUCGCCUCUUUUCUUGUCCUCGGAACCACACGGCCCACCUGCCAUCCGUCACACGGCUGCACUCGGCCACCUGCUGGCUCUUCUUACGCAUUCGGCCAAUCCCCGCUCCUGCUCUGUGUGUGCAUGCUCACGUUUCCGGGUCGCGCUUCGCGGCUGCGCAG
rnacentral:misc_RNA from 1 species